GUUAUUAAUAGAUGAUUAAAAAAACACGGUUGAAAAUUUUUGGCGCCAUAUGAAAUAUACCUAGGCGCCAAAUGAAAAUUUUUUGGGUCUAAUUUCUCUCAGCCAAAAUUUAAUCCCUAAACCUAAGAUACCCAAACAAUUUCUCUCAGCCUCCAUUGCCGCCUCUCUGCCUCUCUUUCUUACACUUUGUUGCAAAGCUUAUUCUCCUCCAUUCACUCUCUCCCACACACUUAUCCUCUCUCACUCUCGUCUCGUCUUAUCUAUCUCUGCCUCACAUCGUCGGUACGAGCUUCCGGAGCACACAACGACGGUAUCGCAGGCUGUAUGUCACGCUGACUAUCUCAAGUUCUUCAACUUACCACGACUCGUAUUCUCCUCUGCUUACAUCUUUUUAAGGUACGAUACCCUGAUUAAAAUUACUUUCCCCUCUCCACCAUUCAGCCUCUUCAGUUCCCAUUUCUCUCUUCCUUUCCCUUUGUCUCCGCCAUGACUCUAUCUCACCAAUCUCUCUCCUCGACCCCUCUCUCAGUUGUCACUUUCUUUCCCCAGUCCUUCUCUCUUCUCGGCAAAGCCCUUCCCACCGCUAUUUAGAUGGUGGAGACAACUGACUUAACAUUAAUGUAGUUGCAGGACUAAUGAGAAUAAUUGCUAGGAUACAUAUGCUUGGGGCACUAAACGGUGUGAAGAUGGACUUGGCAAAUGUUGCUUCCCCUUUGCCUAUAGGUA